CUUCGGGCCCCACAGUCCCUGCACCCAGGUUUCCAUUGCGCGGCUCUCCUCAGCUCCUUCCCGCCGCCCAGCCUGGAUCCUGGGGGAGGCGCUGAAGUCGGGGCCCGCCCUGUGGCCCCGCCCGGCCCGCGCUUGCUAGCGCCCAAAGCCAGCGAAGCACGGGCCCGACCGGGCCAUGUCGGGGGAGCCUGAGCUCAUUGAGCUGCGGGAGCUGGCACCCGCUGGGCGCGCUGGGCAGGGCCGCACCCGGCUGGAGCGUGCCAACGCGCUGCGCAUCGCGCGGGGCACCGCGUGCAACCCCACACGGCAGCUGGUCCCUGGCCGUGGCCACCGCUUCCAGCCCGCGGGGCCCGCCACGCACACGUGGUGCGACCUCUGUGGCGACUUCAUCUGGGGCGUCGUGCGCAAAGGCCUGCAGUGCGCGCAUUGCAAGUUCACCUGCCACUACCGCUGCCGCGCGCUCGUCUGCCUGGACUGUUGCGGGCCCCGGGACCUGGGCUGGGAACCCGCGGUGGAGCGGGACACGAACGUGGUGAGCGCGGGGCCGAGGGCGUAUGGGAAGGGCGAGGAUGGGCAGGCCACAGUGCAGGCAUUCUCGAGGGCUGCCUGGGUGCCGCGCGCAAGGAGCGUUCUAAUUGCCGAUUUCCCGGCGGCAGAGAGAGGCUAAUUCUGCGCGGGGACUGGGAGGGGAGCCUGGAUUGCCGGCUCCGCAAGGACUCCACCCGCUGCAAGCGGACCCGGGCCCAGGCUGACCCAGGCUCCGCGCACGCGCACUUCCCGCACCUUCCCGCCCUCGCCUCCGGCCAGAGGCCACUCUUGUGCGCUUGCCCGGACGCUGGCACCCGCCCCCGUUCCCUGUGGUAGGUGGGGUCUGUGAGUGGAGCUGCCGGAGCGAUGAGGUCAUUCCUGGGGGCGAAGCGUGCGUGUCCCCGCCCCGGCGUUCCUGCCCCAAUGAGACAAGAGCUAGAUCCCGGCGAUCUACGUUUCAGUCUUAACGGUUGCGGCGCGGCUCUGGCCCGGGCGCACGCGCACACUGACACGCGUACACGCACGCACGCGACCGGGGCGGUGGUUGGCGGCUACGGACGCGCGGGACUGGGGGACGGGCGGGUACGGCUAUGGGCGAGGCGGAGGCGCCUUCUUUCGAAAUGACCUGGAGCAGCACGACGAGCAGUGGCUACUGCAGCCAAGAGGACUCGGACUCGGAGCUCGAGCAGUACUUCACCGCGCGAACCUCGCUAGCGCGCAGGCCGCGCCGGGACCAGGUGGGAGCCAGGGGGUGCCGGCGGGCGGGAGGGGAGGCGGUCGCUGGAGCUCCGCCCUCCCCGGUCCGUUGCCGCGUCCUGGGUCGGUGGGCAGCCCCACCCUCCUGGCUACGUGGCUCCCCGCGGGUCCUGGCCGGGGACCUGCCCGCGGAACCGUGCGUAAGACCCCGAUUCCACCGCCUAGAUGCAGGGUGCCGGGGCCCCCUUGGUUUCUGUCACAGACAGGUUGAACACGGAAAAAGCAGCUGUGUGGCUUGUGGUAGACCUGAGCCGGGCAUUAUCCAGCUAUGACUAAAGCCGACCGAGCAGUCUGGACUAGCACCUCGAUUUCCGCGUUCGAAUGCUCCUGCUCCCUCCUUGGGGAGACUAGGGGAGGAUGUGGAGAGGGAAGAGUCCUCGCCAGGAAUUGAGAAGUAUGUUUAGGAAAACUUGAGAGGCAGAGAGAGAUCCUGCUCCUCCAUCUGCACUCCUGUAUGGAGCCAGCUGAGCCCUCACCUCUUCCCUGUUCUGGCCUGUCACCAGCUGCUGGAAUGUGGAAGAUUCUGAUCCCUUCCUCUAGGGUGGAUCUGGAGAAAGAUUUGGGAAUAGAUAGGAAAGAAGUCUUGUUUUGGACCAUAAGCAUUCAGGAGCACUUUACCCACAGGAAGGGGGAAAGCUAGAUUAUAAAAUGCCUAAAGAGGUGGAAAAAGAGAUCCAGGUUACUAACCCAGGACUGUAAGGUGUCUCGGAACCUCCUUGGUAUCCCCAUUAUCAGAGAACUGUGUGCCAGAUGCCAUUGGUGUGACCACCAGGCUCA
rnacentral:sRNA from 1 species